UUAUUUUAUUUUUAGGGGUAUUUGGUUUUUUAUUGUUAAAGUUCGAAUGUUUCGGGGUUUUUAUAAAUAUUAUCCUGCGUCGAUUUUGGAACUGUUAUAGGUUAUAUAAUUAUCGUUAUAAUAGGUGGUCCAAUUUAUUAUAUUAUAUUAAUUAGGUUAUAUUUAGUUAUAGUUGGUAAUAUUAAAUUUUCGUGGUUUUUCGGGUUUAUUUUUAAAAUUAAUGGUAAAUUCCGGGGUAUUAUUAUAUACCUCGGGACAAUUUCGCGCAAUAUAUUCUGGUUUAUUACAUUUGAAAUAUUUGCCAUUUUUGGGGUUUUUGCGAAAUUGUCGGUAUUAAAUUGCGUUUAGGUCCAUAGGUUCGUUAUAGGUGCCGUACGAAAUAUUAUAUUGGCGAGGCGGUUUGGGGUAUUAAUAUUUGCGUUUUAUAUUAGUUUAUCGCAAAAUUGGGCUUUAUGCGCUGCGUUUUUCGCGUCGUUCCAAUUUUCGCUCGUAUAGUCGAUUGUCGAUUUUAACCGCUAAUUCCAUAUAUUUUAUUAAUAUAUCGGGUUGUUUUUUUUUAACCAAUUCGUUUUUAACCUUUUUUUUAAAUCCUGUAUAAAAAUAUAUUAUUAGGGCUUUUUUACCCCAUAAUAAUUUGGCGGUAAUUUGUCGAAAUUUACUGGUGUAUUUAAAUGCCGAUUUAAUUUGGGUAAAACAUAUUAAUUUACGUUUAACCGUACGUUUUUCGUCUGGGUUACCGAAUAUUUUCCUAAAAUAUUUUUCGAAAUUAUUAUAAUUGUCGAAAAUACGGUUGGUUUUAAUUUUACGGUUUUUUUUUAUUAUAAUCCAAAUAAUUUCGCAAAAUUGGUUCGAAUUAGGCGAACGCGUCGUUUUUUAAAAGGGAGGUUGCGUAAAUAAUUUUAUUUGCAUUAUUAUCGAAAUUAUCCUCGUUAAAAUAAAAAUAUACCCGGGUUUUUAUAAGAAAUUUUUGCAGGGUAUUUAUAAUAUUAUUAUAUAAUAAUAAUAAAGGGUAUUUAAUAUGGUUUUUAUUAAUUCGAUUAAUUUGUUCGGUUAUUUGUUCCUAAAAUUAUCGAUUUUCGGUUUAAAACGUUGCAAUUAUUUAACGUAAAACGUUAACGUUGGCCGGAACGUUAGUAAUAAAGGGGGUUUGAAAGGUGGUUUUUUUGGAAAAUAUUGUUUCGGCGGUAUUAUUCGGUAUAUUUUAAAGCAAAAUAUUAAACAAAAGCAAUUAAAAUGUUACGAUUAAAAUAUUGGGGUAAUUUGUUUUUAGGGUAAAAUAUAAUGGGUUGAAACAAUUAAACGUUUA
rnacentral:sRNA from 1 species